rnacentral:rRNA from 1 species
CCUACGGGCGGCAGCAGUGGGGAAUAUUGGACAAUGGGCGAAAGCCUGAUCCAGCCAUGCCGCGUGUGUGAAGAAGGCCUUCGGGUUGUAAAGCACUUUCAGUGGGGAAGAAAGCCUUGGGGCUAAUACCCUCGAGGAAGGACAUCACCCACAGAAGAAGCACCGGCUAACUCCGUGCCAGCAGCCGCGGUAAUACGGAGGGUGCGAGCGUUAAUCGGAAUUACUGGGCGUAAAGCGCGCGUAGGCGGUCUGAUAAGCCGGUUGUGAAAGCCCCGGGCUCAACCUGGGAACGGCAUCCGGAACUGUCAGGCUAGAGUGCAGGAGAGGAAGGUAGAAUUCCCGGUGUAGCGGUGAAAUGCGUAGAGAUCGGGAGGAAUACCAGUGGCGAAGGCGGCCUUCUGGACUGACACUGACGCUGAGGUGCGAAAGCGUGGGUAGCAAACAGGAUUAGAUACCCCUGUAGUC